rnacentral:rRNA from 1 species
GAUGAACGCUGCCAGAAUGCUUAACACAUGCAAGUCCACUUGAAUUUGGGUUUUUACCUUAGGUUUGGGUGGCGGACGGGUGAGUAACGCGUAAAGAACUUGCCUCACAGCUAGGGACAACAUUUGGAAACGAAUGCUAAUACCUAAUAUUAUGAUAAUAGGGCAUCCUAUAAUUAUGAAAGCUAUAAGCGCUGUGAGAGAGCUUUGCGUCCCAUUAGCUAGUUGGAGAGGUAACGGCUCACCAAGGCGAUGAUGGGUAGCCGGUCUGAGAGGGUGAUCGGCCACAAGGGGACUGAGACACGGCCCUUACUCCUACGGGAGGCAGCAGUGGGGAAUAUUGGACAAUGGACCGAGAGUCUGAUCCAGCAAUUCUGUGUGCACGAUGAAGUUUUUCGGAAUGUAAAGUGCUUUCAGUUGGGAAGAAACAAAUGACGGUACCAACAGAAGAAGUGACGGCUAAAUACGUG